rnacentral:rRNA from 1 species
CCGAUGGAGGGGGAUAACUACUGGAAACGGUAGCUAAUACCGCAUAACGUCGCAAGACCAAAGAGGGGGACCUUCGGGCCUCUUGCCAUCGGAUGUGCCCAGAUGGGAUUAGCUAGUAGGUGGGGUAACGGCUCACCUAGGCGACGAUCCCUAGCUGGUCUGAGAGGAUGACCAGCACACUGGAACUGAGACACGGUCCAG